rnacentral:rRNA from 1 species
GCGGAGGAAAAGAAACCAACAGGGAUUGCCUCAGUAACGGCGAGUGAAGCGGCAUCAGCUCAAAUUUGAAAUCUGGUCUCACGAUCCGAGUUGUAAUUUGUAGAGAAUGCUUCGGGCGAGGUCCGGUCUAAGUUCCUUGGAACAGGACGUCAUAGAGGGUGAGAAUCCCGUAUGCGACCGGGUGCCUCCGCCCAUGUGAAGCUUCUUCGACGAGUCGAGUUGUUUGGGAAUGCAGCUCAAAAUGGGUGGUAAAUUUCAUCUAAAGCUAAAUACUGGCCAGAGACCGAUAGCGCACAAGUAGAGUGAUCGAAAGAUGAAAAGCACUUUGGAAAGAGAGUUAAACAGUACGUGAAAUUGUUGAAAGGGAAGCGCUUGCAACCAGACUUGCGCGUGGCCGAUCAUCCGGUGUUCUCACCGGUGCACUCGGUUGCGCUCAGGCCAGCAUCGGUUUCGGUGGUUGGAUAAAGGCCCGGGGAAUGUAGCUCCUCUCGGGGAGUGUUAUAGCCCUGGGUGCAAUGCAGCCUACCGGGACCGAGGACCGCGCUUCGGCUAGGAUGCUGGCGUAAUGGUUGUAAGCGACC